UACGAAGGGGGCUAGCGUUGCUCGGAAUCACUGGGCGUAAAGCGCACGUAGGCGGCUUGCUAAGUCAGGGGUGAAAUCCUGGAGCUCAACUCCAGAACUGCCUUUGAUACUGUCGAUCUCGAGUCCGGGAGAGGUGAGUGGAACUGCGAGUGUAGAGGUGAAAUUCGUAGAUAUUCGCAAGAACACCAGUGGCGAAGGCGGCUCACUGGCCCGGUACUGACGCUGAGGUGCGAAAGCGUGGGGAGCAAACAGG
rnacentral:rRNA from 1 species